rnacentral:rRNA from 1 species
CCUACGGGUGGCAGCAGUGAGGAAUAUUGGUCAAUGGACGCAAGCCUGAACCAGCCAUGCCGCGUGCAGGAAGACGGCCCUAUGAGUUGUAAACUGCUUUUGUAAGAGGGUAAACGCAGACACGCGUACCUGUUUGAAAGUACCGUAUGAAUAAGGAUCGGCUAACUCCGUGCCAGCAGCCGCGGUAAUACGGAGGAUUCAAGCGUUAUCCGGAUUUAUUGGGUUUAAAGGGUGCGUAGGCGGUCGGUUAAGUUAGAGGUGAAAUCCCGAGGCUCAACUUCAGAAUUGCCUCUGAUACUGUCAGGCUAGAGAGUAGUUGCGGUAGGCGGAAUGUGUGGUGUAGCGGUGAAAUGCUUAGAGAUCAUGCAGAACACCGAUUGCGAAGGCAGCUUACCAAGCUGCUUCUGACAUUGAGGCACGAAAGCGUGGGUAGCAAACAGGAUUAGAUACCCUUGUAGUC